AGUGGAUGGGGAGCAACCUAUGUUGUGCGUGUGUAAAGGUAGUGCCAAGAAAAGCGAUGAUCAUGUUGAAAAUCAAUUCCCGGUACCCGAAACCGACACAGGUGGGCAAGUAGAGAAUACUAAGGGGCGCGAGGUAACUCUCUCCAAGGAACUCGGCAAAAUGACCCCGUAACUUAGGGAGAAGGGGUGCCACCGAGAGGUGGUCGCAGUGAAGAGGCCCAGGCGACUGUUUAGCAAAAACAUAGGUCUCUGCAAACUCGAAAGAGGAGGUAUAGGGGCUGACGCCUGCCCAGUGCCGGAAGGUUAAAGAAGUUGGUCAGUUUUAGGAUGAAGCUAGCGACUGAAGCCCCGGUGAACGGCGGCCGUAACUAUAACGGUCCUAAGGUAGCGAAAUUCCUUGUCGGGUAAGUUCCGACCCGCACGAAAGGCGUAACGAUCUGGGCGCUGUCUCGGAGAGAGGCUCGGCGAAAUAGGAUUGUCUGUGAAGAUACGGACUACCUGCAUUUGGACAGAGAGACCCUAUGAAGCUUUACUAUAGCUUGGAAUUGUGUUCGGGCUUCCUGUGCGCAGGAUAGGUGGGAGGCGUAGAAGGUAUUCUUGUGGGGAUACUGGAGCCAACGGUGAGAUACCACUCUCAGGAGGCUAGAAUUCUAACUUAAUUAAGGACAGUUUCAGGUGGGUAGUUUGACUGGGGCGGUCGCCUCCAAAAAGGUAACGGAGGCGUACAAAGGUUCCCUCAGACUGGUUGGAGAUCAGUCGAAGAGUGCAAAGGCAGAAGGGAGCUUGACUGCGAGAAGUACAGUUCGAGCAGGGUGGAAACACGGUCUUAGUGAUCCGACGGUGCUGUGUGGAAGGGCCGUCGCUCAACGGAUAAAAGUUACUCUAGGAUAACAGGCUGAUCUCCCCCAAGAGUUCACAUCGACGGGGAGGUUUGGCACCUCGAUGUCGGCUCAUCGCAACCUGGGGCGGAAGUACGUCCCAAGGGUUGGGCUGUUCGCCCAUUAAAGCGGUACGUGAGCUGGGUUCAGAACGUCGUGAGACAGUUCGGUCCAUAUCCGAUGUAGGCGUGAGAAUAUUGAGAGGAGCCUUCCUUAGUACGAGAGGACCGGGAAGGACGCACCGCUGGUGUACCUGUUAUGAUGCCAAUUGUAAACGCAGGGUAGCCAAGUGCGGAGAGGAUAACCGCUGAAAGCAUCUAAGUGGGAAGCCCACCUCAAGAUGAGUAUUCUGGUGUAAGGUCACGGGAAGACGACCCGUAAAUAGGCACGAGGUGGAAGUGCAGAGAUGUAUGAAGCCGAAGUGUACUAAUAGACCGUCGGCUUGAC
rnacentral:rRNA from 1 species